rnacentral:lncRNA from 10 species
AAGCACACCACCUCGAAGCCCAACCUCGUCCCCCGAGCCAGAAUGUGAGCACCUGUGGGCGGGGAGCCUCUCGUGAGGGUCUGGAUCCAGCAGAGGCCUAACAUAACAGGGAUGCCAAACGGACGACAUGCAAAGGAUGAGGAGAUCGUGAUACAAAACAUAAAAAAGGAACAAUGCCUUUUGCUUUUCACUUAUCUAUAUGUAAAAGGGAAGAGCUCACAGACGGGAAGUCAACCUCCGAGCUCCAGAGCAGCCACACCCACAGCAGAGGGCAGGUGAGACUCUCCCACCUUCUGGGACACUUGGUUCCCAGUGACACCAGCUUCAGGUCCAUCCCAUCAGCCCACCUGGCACCAGCAGUGCCCAGCACACAGGCAUCCAGGGCUGCUGACUGCUUUUGAACGGAACUCAGCUGGAAGGAGGGUGCCCCACAUGCAGUGCACCCACCUGAAGCUCGGGGGCGUGCAACAGACCUGGAGGUGGCCCGUGGAGCGCGCUCUCUAGCCUCUGCCCAGGGCAUCUGCCUCAACAGCCUGGGGACACCUUUUGGUUAACAAUACAAGAUUCCCAAAUUUACACAUGACUUAGUGGUUUACAGUCAGAUGAAACACGACCUUCAUCCUCAGAGGAUACGCUCGGAGUCAACUUCAGAGUGUGGUUGGAAGAUCACAGGCCCUGAUGCCAAUACAGGAAGCCCCAGGCCACACAUCCAGCUGUGCGGACACAGACCCACGAGAGAAAGGGAAAGCCCCCAAGGAUGGAAACUGUGAUAAUACACAGCAGAGGGAACCUGGCCCGCCGCUGGCCUCACAGCAGCAGCAGCAGCAGAGACCUGGGCAGAUGAGGCCAUGUGUGAGCCACGUUUGUGGGAAGGAUUGAGGAUGACAUCCCAGAUCACAGUUCGGGCAUCGCGCGGCUUGUGGAGGUGGCGGAAACAUUCUCUGGCAGCAAAGCCAAGCUGGGUAACUUCCAAGGGACAGCUGGUCCUGUUGGGUCCCGCGGGGGGCACCUGCGAGGUGGCGUGAACACCAUGCAGUGCAGAGCAGGGUGCCCUGGGUGGCCAAGUGGGGCCCGCCUGACUCCUCACCCCAAAGAGAGGCUUGAGGGUAGCUGUGGAGGGUGGGGUGGGCUCUGGGGGGCAAGGCCUGUCCCAAGGGGAUCCAGACCACCUCCUGCACCCUGCGGGAGACUCAGCCCCAGCUUCCGCUUCUCCCGGAUGGGGCUGGGCUGCAGCCCAAAUGAAACUAAGCUGUAAAAACUAAACGACGCCACACAGAGACCAAGGGAUGACUGUGGAAGGGAAGAGGGGACAGGGAAGGAGGAACUGGUCGUCAGGACAGCCAGCUGUAACUGCUGCAGGCAGGACCCACUGGUCGAUGUGGAUGUCAGUGGGUGGGAGAACAGGGCAUUUCUGUAGCCUCCAAGUCUGUCCCUGCAAAUAAGCAUGAAUGACUGUGGGGGUUUCCCACAUGACUCCCCUGGGAGGUGGGGCUCACUCUCCCCCACCCCCAGUGUGGACUACAUGCCCCGACACACUCGACAUGGAAAAAGACGGUGGUGACUUGGACAGAAUGACCAAGGUCAUCACGCUGGUGCGAGUCAUACAGAUGCCCCAUCCCCAGAAAGCGCCCUCUUUGGUGCUCCCCCUAAAACCACGACCCCAAGAUAAUCACAAGAAUACACCAGACACACCACAAAACACCAGACUACUCCUCUCCAGGAGUGCUGAGGUCAGGGAGGCAGGAACAGAGCAGAAGCCGAGGAGAUGCAGUGUCCAGUGCAACCUGAGGUGCUGAGCCAGGAAUGUGGUGGGCGGGAGGUAGGAGGGUCCAGGGUCUGGGGUUCAGGUAACGCACUGCACCAUGACAGCACCUUGGCUCAGAUAAAUGCACACUGGCUAUGUGAGACAUCGGACAUGUGGAGCUAGGUGGGGGCGCUCAAGAUCCUUCUGUGCAAUCAUCAAAACUCUUCUGUAAAUUUAAAAUUAUUUCAAGACAAAAUUUUUAAAGGCAAAGAAAAAAAGCCUGACCAGGCACCUGGCAGCAUGAGUGAGGCCCGCUGAGAGCAAGCCUGUCCUGUGCACUCCUGCCCCUCGACGCCCCCUGUCUCCGCCUUCCCUGGGCCUGAGGAUUGUCCCCUUGCAGGCAGCUCUCAUGCUCCCAUCUCUGUCUCUGCUGCUGUGUGUGCGCGUCAGACCCCGAGGGCAGGUUGGAGUGACGGUGGACGUGAUCAGAGGCAACUGAGCUGUCUAAGUGCCUUCCUUGCCCUCUGCCACGCUAGCUGUAGCUCAGCAUCCCAAGGAGUCCUGGUGAAAAUACAGACACAGCCUACUCGGUGGGCUCAGAGAGGGCCGAGCAAACCGCAUCUGCUGUGUGCGCCCAAGGAAUGGAAAGCAAGGACUUGAGGUAUCUGCACACCCACGUUCACAGCAGCACUGUUCACAGAAGCCAGAAGGUGGGAGCAACCGUGUCCAUCAAGGGAUGAACGCACACACAAAAUGCGGGACUCACAAAAUGCGGUAUUCACAUACGACAGAGGAGUAUGUAGCCUUGGAAAACCCUGACCCCUGCUACAGCAGGGAGGAACCUUGAGGACUUUAUGUUAAGUGAAAUAAGCCAGUUACAAAUGGAUAAAUACUGUGUGAUUCCACUCAUAUGAGGUACCCAGACAGAAACAGAAAGCAGAAUGGCGGCUGCCCAGGGCUGGAGGAGGGGAAAAUGAAGAGUUUGUAUUUCACAGGUAAAAAGCUUCUGUUUGGGAAGAUGAAAAGCACCCUGCAGACAGACAGUGGUAAUGGCUGCAAAACAACGUGAAUGUUCUUAAUGCCACUGACGUGCACAAUGAAAAAUGGUUAAGACGGCAAAUUUCAUCUGAUGUGUAUUUACCAAAAUAAAAAGCAAAACCCCAUGCUUGUCAUCAGGGGAGAGGAGGUGAGGGUGGAGGCACAGCGCACCUCCCCAGCUGUAGGACAGGGGGAGGGCGUGGUACUGGCCGUUUCUCCAUUUGCUGAUCACCGUGAGAGAGCCUGAUGGGGUCAGGCGGCACAGUCUUUUUACCACUGAACAGCCACUUCCUGCUGCCAUGGCCAUGGAGCUGGGCCUUCCACCCCCACCUGGAGCCUACUGAGGCCCAAGGAGAAGGCACAGGACCCCACGGCAGGCAGGAUGUAUUUCCGCUUGUCCAGGCAACUAAGCCACGUCCCCACGAAUGGAGGCUCCUACAGAGACAGGCGGGUCGGGUGGUCCAGUAGGACCAGCAAGCGCUUCCCCAAACCCACUGGCUCCUCCUCCUGGGCGCGAGGCUCCCUGUGUGGCCAGCUGCCCUGGUGUGGCCAUGUGACCGAGUUCUGGGAGAUGGCGGGUGGGCACUGACCCGUAACCCCCUCUGUGCGGCCCUCCUCUUCCUACCCCCUUCUGCCUUUGAGGAUCAGUGCCCAUGUGCCCUGGAAGCCUCCACCAGCCUGGGUCCCUAAGUGACCCUUGGAACAGAGUGUCAUUCUCACGAAUGUCCACACCAGGGGCCCAAUCUUCAUUCUAAUGAGAAGUCCACAUUUUAGAGAUGUUGUAGGUGCCUGCCCAGUCUGGCUGAGGCCACUGAACAGCACGAUGGCCCCAGAAGAGCUUCUGGGUCCCCUUCUUUCAACAACGAGGCUGGGGUGAGGCCCCACAGUGGCUAAAGCGUCGACCCUUCAAAUCUCCAGGGCUCCCUUUGUGUCCUGGAGACCGAGAGGCUGGUGAACAGAUGCCAGUACCCAGUGGCUUAUAACUUGCUCAGGCUAUUUCAUUCUCUUUUCCUUUCAGAUCUGAGGGAGAACUCUCCAUUAGCAGAGGGGAGGUGACCACGUAAAAGGACCCAGGCUCCCAAGCUUUGUGGAUACAGGGGAGGGAAGAGGACAGAAGACCUGGAGGGGUGUUUGCAAAUACGCACCUGCCAAGGGUAGGUAUCUUACCCGGCCAGACAGGGGCCCUCUUCCUCUGCCUGUUGCUCCCAGCUGAGGGAGGAGAGGACUGACUGGGCCUGGAUCCCACAAGGUGGUUGGAGGUCCCGUUAGGAGCCAGGGCCAGGGAGGCAGCCCCCUAAAGGCCAGCGUGGAUGCCCGCCCACCCACCCCUGCCAAGGGCUGCUUGGGAGUAUUGCAGGCCAGACCAGAGUCUCAGCCACAGGUGGAGACAGCUUUACAGAUGAGACGAACCACUUCUCUUGUGGAUUUUCCACGGUGACGAGUCAGCUGUAUCACUAUCAUAUCCCACAGAUGCAGUCUGCACACCCCCCAAGCUCAGGGCAUAAAAAGGUGUCUUCAUGGAGCAGUGCCCACCUCUCCACAGCCUGUAAAGCUGCACCAACAACUCAAUGACAUUCCAGCAACUUCGAAGAGAAAGUCCCGUCUCCCCAGGUCUGCCUUCCUGCCUUCCCCAAUUCAGAUCCCACAGCUCACGGAAUGGCUCUGUGUCAAACUCUGAAGGUUGGCUCACCCAGGGCAGACAGACAGAGGGGCCUGCCCAGGAGCCCGACUCCAGCUUGCCAACUCUCCUGUCACCUAGAAUCAAAGCCACCGAGCGGAGAAGCCCCCGGUCCAGCUGCCUGCGUCACUUUACCUUCUUUGAAGACAGCAGCAGGGUCUGGACUGGCUCAAAGUCCUGGAAGAGCUGGGUCUCCUCGAUGAUGUGAACAGCGUGCUCGA